rnacentral:misc_RNA from 1 species
AUUUAUUUUUUGCCCCGGCAUCACUGCUACUAGUAUUGUGAUUUAUUUUUGUUUUAAUCGAAAAUAAUAUCGAGUUUGCUUCAAUUUAGAAUUCUGUCCUGUUUUCGAUAAUUAAAAAUAGCCAAAACUUAUAUUAUCAAUUUUAAUUUGACCAAUUCCUGACAGCCUUAAUCGGUUGGCAUGGUUUUGAUUUUGUCAAACUAGGCCCAAUUAAGUCAG